UACGUAGGGUGCAAGCGUUAAUCGGAAUUACUGGGCGUAAAGCGUGCGCAGGCGGUGAUGUAAGACAGAUGUGAAAGCCCCGGGCUCAACCUGGGAAUUGCAUUUGAAACUACGAGGCUAGAGUGUGUCAGAGGGGGGUAGAAUUCCACGUGUAGCAGUGAAAUGCGUAGAGAUGUGGAGGAAUACCGAUGGCGAAGGCAGCCCCCUGGGAUAACACUGACGCUCAUGCACGAAAGCGUGGGGAGCAAACAGG
rnacentral:rRNA from 1 species